GCAUAUCAAUAAGCGGAGGAAAAGAAACCAACAGGGAUUGCCCUAGUAACGGCGAGUGAAGCGGCAACAGCUCAAAUUUGAAAUCUGGCCCUAGCGGUCCGAGUUGUAAUUUGUAGAGGAUGCUUUUGGUUAGGUGCCUUCUGAGUUCCCUGGAACGGGACGCCAGAGAGGGUGAGAGCCCCGUACGGUUGGACACCGAGCCUCUAUAUAGCUCCUUCGACGAGUCGAGUAGUUUGGGAAUGCUGCUCUAAAUGGGAGGUAAAUUUCUUCUAAAGCUAAAUACCGGCCAGAGACCGAUAGCGCACAAGUAGAGUGAUCGAAAGAUGAAAAGUACUUUGAAAAGAGGGUUAAAUAGCACGUGAAAUUGUUGAAAGGGAAGCGUUUGCGACCAGACUUUUUCCAGGCGGAUCAUCCGGUGUUCUCACCGGUGCACUUCGCCUGGUUUAGGCCAGCAUCGGUUCUCUUAGGGGGAUAAAGGCUUGGGGAACGUAGCUCCCUCGGGAGUGUUAUAGCCCCUCGCGUAAUACCCUUCGGGGGACCGAGGAACGCGCAUCUGCAAGGAUGCUGGCGUAAUGGUCGUCAACGACCCGUCUUGAAACACGGACCAAGGAGUCGAACAUUUGUGCGAGUGUUUGGGUGUUAAACCCUCACGCGUAAUGAAAGUGAACGGAGGUGAGAGCCCUUCGGGGUGCAUCAUCGACCGAUCCUGAUGUCUUCGGAUGGAUUUGAGUAAGAGCAUAACUGUUCGGACCCGAAAGAUGGUGAACUAUGCGUGGAUAGGGUGAAGCCAGAGGAAACUCUGGUGGAGGCUCGCAGCGGUUCUGACGUGCAAAUCGAUCGUCAAAUCUGCGCAUGGGGGCGAAAGACUUAUCGAACCAUCUAGUAGCUGGUUACCGCCGA
rnacentral:rRNA from 1 species